rnacentral:rRNA from 1 species
AGUGAACGCUGGCGGUAGGCCUAACACAUGCAAGUCGAACGGCAGCACAGUAAGAGCUUGCUCUUACGGGUGGCGAGUGGCGGACGGGUGAGGAAUACAUCGGAAUCUACUUUUUCGUGGGGGAUAACGUAGGGAAACUUACGCUAAUACCGCAUACGACCUACGGGUGAAAGCCGGGGAUCUUCGGACCUUGCCCGAUUGAAUGAGCCGAUGUCGGAUUAGCUAGUUGGCGGGGUAAAGGCCCACCAAGGCGACGAUCCGUAGCUGGUCUGAGAGGAUGAUCAGCCACACUGGAACUGAGACACGGUCCAGACUCCUACGGGAGGCAGCAGUGGGGAAUAUUGGACAAUGGGCGCAAGCCUGAUCCAGCCAUACCGCGUGGGUGAAGAAGGCCUUCGGGUUGUAAAGCCCUUUUGUUGGGAAAGAAAAGCAGCAGGUUAAUACCGCGCUGUUCUGACGGUACCCAAAGAAUAAGCACCGGCUAACUUCGUG